rnacentral:rRNA from 1 species
CCUACGGGUGGCUGCAGUGGGGAAUAUUGCACAAUGGGCGAAAGCCUGAUCCAGCAACGCCGCGUGAGCGAUGAAGGCCUUCGGGUCUUUAAGCUCUUUCCUCCAGGGAGAUAAUGACGGUACUUGAGGAGGGAGCCCCGGCUAACUACGUACCAGCAGCCGCGGUAAUACGUAGGGGGCUGGCGUUAUCCGGAUUUACUGGGCGUAAAGGGGGCGUAGGUGGUUUCUUAAGUCAGAGGUAAAAGGGUAGUGCUCAACCGUAUUAAGCCGUUGAAACUGGGGAACUUGAGUGGAGGAGGGGAGUGUGGAAUUCGUGGUGUAGCGGUGAAAUGCGUAGAUAUUACGCGGAACACCAGUUGCGAAGGCGGCUCUCUGGA